rnacentral:rRNA from 1 species
GACGAACGCUGGCGGCGUGCUUAACACAUGCAAGUCGAACGGAAAGGCCCUGCUUUUGUGGGGUGCUCGAGUGGCGAACGGGUGAGUAACACGUGAGUAACCUGCCCUUGACUUUGGGAUAACUUCAGGAAACUGGGGCUCAUACCGGAUAGGAGCUCCUGCUGCAUGGUGGGGGUUGGAAAGUUUCGGCGGUUGGGGAUGGACUCGCGGCUUAUCAGCUUGUUGGUGGGGUAGUGGCUUACCAAGGCUUUGACGGGUAGCCGGCCUGAGAGGGUGACCGGCCACAAUGGGACUGAGAGACGGCCCAGACGCCAACGGGAGGCAGCAGUGGGGAAUAUUGCACAAUGGGCGGAAGCCUGAUGCAGCAACGCCGCGUGCGGGAUGACGGCCUUCGGGUUGUAAACCGCUUUCGCCUGUGACGAAGCGUGAGUGACGGUAAUGGGUAAAGAAGCACCGGCUAACUACGUG